UUCCAAUCUUCCUGCUGGUUCUAAAUCUCUCUCUUUUUUGAUCAAAACAUGAAGCAACAGCGAUCAUACCUGUUCUUUUCUGCUAGUCUAAUCUUUGUCCUCCUUUUUUCAUAUCUAGCAUCACUUGCAGCUGAAGAUCAUCAAGUUGAGGUGGAGGAUGAGAGAGAGUUCGAUUAUGCUCCAGGAAGUAAGAAAGGACCAGAACACUGGGGAG
rnacentral:misc_RNA from 1 species